rnacentral:rRNA from 1 species
CGGUUGAUCCUGCCGGAGGUUACUGCUAUCGGUGUUCGCCUAAGCCAUGCGAGUCAUAUGUUCUUCGUGAACAUGGCGUACUGCUCAGUAACACGUGGAUAACCUGCCCUUGGGUCCGGCAUAACCCCGGGAAACUGGGGAUAAUACCGGAUAACGCAUAUAUGCUGGAAUGCUUUAUGCGUCAAAUGGAUUCGUCUGCCCAAGGAUGGGUCUGCGGCCUAUCAGGUAGUAGUGGGUGUAAUGUACCUACUAGCCGACGACGGGUACGGGUUGUGAGAGCAAGAGCCCGGAGAUGGAUUCUGAGACAUGAAUCCAGGCCCUACGGGGCGCAGCAGGCGCGAAAACUUUACAAUGGCGGGAAACCGUGAUAAGGGGACACCGAGUGC